UGCAGUCGAGCGGAUGAGAGGAGCUUGCUCCUCGAUUCAGCGGCGGACGGGUGAGUAAUGCCUAGGAAUCUGCCUAGUAGUGGGGGACAACGUUUCGAAAGGAACGCUAAUACCGCAUACGUCCUACGGGAGAAAGUGGGGGAUCUUCGGACCUCACGCUAUUAGAUGAGCCUAGGUCGGAUUAGCUAGUUGGUAGGGUAAAGGCCUACCAAGGCGACGAUCCGUAACUGGUCUGAGAGGAUGAUCAGUCACACUGGAACUGAGACACGGUCCAGACUCCUACGGGAGGCAGCAGUGGGGAAUAUUGGACAAUGGGCGAAAGCCUGAUCCAGCCAUGCCGCGUGUGUGAAGAAGGCCUUCGGGUCGUAAAGCACUUUAAGUUGGGAGGAAGGGCUCAUAGCGAAUACCUGUGAGUUUUGACGUUACCAACAGAAUAAGCACCGGCUAACUUCGUGCCAGCAGCCGCGGUAAUACGAAGGGUGCAAGCGUUAAUCGGAAUUACUGGGCGUAAAGCGCGCGUAGGUGGCUUGAUAAGUUGGAUGUGAAAUCCCCGGGCUCAACCUGGGAACUGCAUCCAAAACUGUCUGGCUAGAGUGCGGUAGAGGGUAGUGGAAUUUCCAGUGUAGCGGUGAAAUGCGUAGAUAUUGGAAGGAACACCAGUGGCGAAGGCGACUACCUGGACUGACACUGACACUGAGGUGCGAAAGCGUGGGGAGCAAACAGGAUUAGAUACCCCUGGUAGUCCACGCCGUAAACGAUGUCAACUA
rnacentral:rRNA from 1 species